UUCCCACUCUAUGAAAGCUGUGCCUUCGGUCAUCAUUCUCCUUAACAACGUCAGCAAGCAAGCGAUAGAAACGAAGCGAGCGUGGCGAUGGAACAGACAUACCUUCAUCAUGAUCAAGCCCGACGGCGUCCAACGCGGCCUGUUGAAAGGUUGGAGAAAUCAUUAGUAGGUUUGAGAAAAAGGGUUUCUACUUGAAAGGGUUGAAGUUGGUCGGCGUGGAACGCUCCUUUGCGGAGAAACACUACGUCGACCUCUCCACGAAGCCUUUCUUUGGUUCCCUUGUGGAGUACAUCAUCUC